GGUUGCGAUCAUACCAGCACUAAUGCACCGGAUCCCAUCAGAACUCCGCAGUUAAGCGUGCUUGGGCGAGAGUAGUACUAGGAUGGGUGACCCCUGGGAAGUCCUCGUGUUGCAACCC
rfam:Helianthus annuus linkage group 2, whole genome shotgun sequence.